rnacentral:rRNA from 1 species
AACGAACGCUGGCGGCGCGCCUAAUACAUGCAAGUCGAGCGAGAAGACGUAGCAAUACGUUUGUAAAGCGGCGAACGGGUGAGGAAUACAUGGGUAACCUACCCUCGAGUGGGGAAUAACUAGCCGAAAGGUUAGCUAAUACCGCAUACGACUCUCGGUCUGCGGAUCGAGAGGGAAAGCGAUACCGUGGGUAUCGCGCUCCUGGAUGGGCUCAUGUCCUAUCAGCUUGUUGGUGAGGUAACGGCUCACCAAGGCUUCGACGGGUAGCUGGUCUGAGAGGACGAUCAGCCACACUGGCACUGCGACACGGGCCAGACUCCUACGGGAGGCAGCAGUAAGGAAUAUUGCGCAAUGGGCGACAGCCUGACGCAGCGACGCCGCGUGGGGGAUGAAGGUCUUCGGAUUGUAAACCCCUUUCGGCAGGGAAGAUGGAGCGGGUAACCGCUCGGACGGUACCUGCAGAAGCAGCCACGGCUAACUUCGUGCCAGCAGCCGCCGUAACAC